rnacentral:rRNA from 1 species
ACGGAAGGCAGCAGUGAGGAAUAUUGGUCAAUGGACGGAAGUCUGAACCAGCCAAGUCGCGUGAAGGAUGAAGGUAUUAUGUAUUGUAAACUUCUUUAGCAGUGGAGUAAUAAGGGGAUCGCGAUCCCUGAUGCAAGUACACUGAGAAUAAGGAUCGGCUAACUCCGUGCCAGCAGCCGAGGUAAUACGGAGGAUCCGAGCGUUAUCCGGAUUUAUUGGGUUUAAAGGGUGCGCAGGCGGCUUUUUAAGUCAGUGGUUAAAUCGUGACGCUCAACGUCAUCACGCCAUUGAUACUGGAGAGCUUGAUUGCGGUCGAGGUUUGCGGAAUUCGUUGUGUAGCGGUGAAAUGCAUAGAUAUGACGAAGAACACCGAUUGCGUAGGCAGCAGACCAGGCCGUAAAUGACGCUCAUGCACGAAAGUGCGGGGAUCGAACAGGAUUAGAUACCCUGGUA